CGCGCCCGCGCGCACCCCCUCCCACUGCUCCUCUGCUUCCCCCUCCCGGGCCGGGUUCCGUUCAGGAAAUGGCCCGGGAUGAGGUUCCCAGCUGCUUCCCAGCCGGGGCAGCGCUUCCUCCGCCGCCUGGGCUCCUCGCUCGCCGCCCGGAGCGCCUUUGUCCGGCCAGCCGAGGCUCUUCCCGAGCGGCCGGACCUCACGACGGCCCUGGGAGGAUCGUUUGCUUCGCUUCAUCGACUUACCAACUUUUUACUUGAUUUCAGGGCGUCAGGGGAUGAAGCGGGAAGCUAACCUCCAUUUCGCCCAAGAUUUUGCUGCACAUGCAACGCGGAGGUUGGGUAAUUUUAGGAACCUAGAGGAGCGUGUGCCGUGGGUAUUGGGCAGUCAGAACCAUCGCACAUCCCUCCGGGGAGUCUGCCCCGGAAUCCCCGUCUCACGCAGAGCUCUGCAGUCCGGUGUGGACUGCCUUUCCCUGGCAUCGCGUUUGGGCUCCUCACGCCCUCCCUCGAUGCUACUUCGCCUUUGUUGAAAUUCUUG